GAACCACCUUUUUUGGGCUAGAUAUUUUCAGUGCGCAUGCACGUGUGUAUGUCAAUGUGUAAGUUCUUCCAGAUCGGAAUGUUAGAAGUCCUACCAUCUCAAUUCUCCGAUACCUUUCCAACACCUAUGAAAAUUAAUCAAACAGAGCUUUUUCUGACUCACGUUUAUAGUCUCGGUCAAUACCAUCAAUAGGUUGACUUUUGUCUUUUCACUGCUCACCGAUUCUACCCUAAUGUGAGCCUAGCACCAUGUUGUAACAGGUCCAUGGCCAGGGAGCAUGUUUCUGCAGACCAUUCGGAUCAGUUGGCGCAGAAAAGUUCGAGCAAUAAGUGCGAAAUAGUUUGUUUUUUCAAUCUUGCGAUCCGUUUUUAGGGCAUGAACCGCCUUUUUUGGGCUAGAUAUUUUCAGUGCGCAUGCACGUGUGUAUGUGGAUGUGUAAAUUCUUCCAGAUCAGAAUGUUAGAAGUCCUACCAUCUCAAUUCUCUGAUACCUUUCCCACACCUAUGAAAAUUACUCAAACAGAACUUUUUCUGACUCACGUUUAUAGUCUUAGUCAAAAACAUCAAUAGGGUGAGUUUUGUCUUUUCACUGUUCAUCGAUUCUACCCUAAUGUGAGCCUAGCACCAUGUUGUAAUAGGUCCAUGGCCAAGGACCAUGUUUCUACAGACCAUUCGGAUCAGUUGGCCCACAAAAUUUCGAGCUAUAAGUGCGAAAUAGUUUGUUUUUUCAAUCUUGCGAUCCGUUUUUGAGGGCACGAAUCGCCUUUUUUGGGCUAGAUAUUUUCAGUGUGCAUGCACGUGUGUAUGUAGAUGUGUAAAUUCUUCCAGAUCAGAAAGUUAGAAGUCCUACCAUCUCAAUUCUUCGAUACCUUUCUAACACCUAUGAAAAUUUCUCAAACGGAGCUUUUUCUGACUCACGUUUAUAGUCUCGGUCAAUACCAUCAAUAGGGUGAGUUUUGUCUUUUCACUGUUCACCGAUUCAACCCUAAUGUGAGCCUAGCACCAUGUUGUAACAGGUCCAUGGCCAAGGAGCAUGUUUCUGCAGACCAUUC
rnacentral:lncRNA from 1 species